AAUUCUUAGUGGCGAACGGGUGAGUAACGCGUAGGCAACCUGCCCUUUAGACGGGGACAACAUUCCGAAAGGAGUGCUAAUACCGGAUGUGAUCAUCGUGCCGCAUGGCAGGAUGAAGAAAGAUGGCCUCUACAAGUAAGCUAUCGCUAAAGGAUGGGCCUGCGUCUGAUUAGCUAGUUGGUAGUGUAACGGACUACCAAGGCGAUGAUCAGUAGCCGGUCUGAGAGGAAGGUCCCCACAUUGGAACUGAGACACGGUCCAAACUCC
rnacentral:rRNA from 1 species